ACAAGCGGUGGAGCAUGUGGUUUAAUUCGAUGAUACGCGAGGAACCUUACCUGGGCUCAAAUGUAUGUUGACGUAUUCUGAAAGGGAUACUUCUUCGGACAAUAUACAAGGUGCUGCAUGGUUGUCGUCAGCUCGUGCCGUGAGGUGUCGGGUUAAGUCCCAUAACGAGCGCAACCCCUAUCAUUAGUUGCCAUCAGGUCAAGCUGGGGACUCUAAUGAAACUGCCUACGCAAGUAGUGAGGAAGGUGGGGAUGACGUCAAAUCAGCACGGCCCUUACGUCCAGGGCUACACACGUACUACAAUGGCCGAUACAAAGGGCAGCGGCACUGCGAGGUGAAGCCAAUCCCGUAAAAUCGGUCUCAGUCCGGAUUGGAGUCUGCAACUCGACUCCAUGAAGUUGGAAUCGCUAGUAAUCGUGGAUCAGCAUGCCACGGUGAAUACGUUCCCGGGCCUU
rnacentral:rRNA from 1 species